rnacentral:rRNA from 1 species
CAUUAUCGUGGGGCUUCGGCCCUCUCGAGAUAGAACCCUUGCCUUUUUGAGUACCUUUCGUUUCCUCGGCGGGCUCGCCUGCCAAUGGGGACCCCAAUACACCCUUUUGUAAUACCUGUAAUCGUCUGACAAAACAAACAAAAAUUAAAACUUUCAACAACGGAUCUCUUGGUUCUGGCAUCGAUGAAGAACGCAGCGAAAUGCGAUAAGUAGUGUGAAUUGCAGAAUUCAGUGAAUCAUCGAAUCUUUGAACGCACAUUGCGCCCCUUGGUAUUCCGGGGGGCAUGCCUGUUCGAGCGUCAUUACAACCCUCAAGCUAUGCUUGGUCUUGGGCCCUGCCGGCAACGGCUGGCCCUAAAAUCAGUGGCGGUGCCAUCGUGCUCUCAGCGUAGUAAUUCUUCUCGCUGUUGGGUCUCGGUGGACGCUGGCCAGCAACCCCCAAUUUUUCAGGUUGACCUCGGAUCAGGUAGGGAUACCC